rnacentral:tRNA from 1 species
GCCGCGGUGGCGGAACUGGUAGACGCGCAGGACUUAAAAUCCUGUUUUCGGAAGAAAGUGAGGGUUCGAUUCCCUCCCGCGGCACCG